CUUUUGCGGGUGGCGGCGGGCGCGGAGAGGACGCCAUGAAGGCUUCGGGCACCCUACGAGAGUACAAGGUGGUGGGUCGCUGCCUGCGCACCCCAAAUGCCACACACCACCCCUCUACCGCAUGCAAAUCUUUGCGCCUAAUCAUGUCGUCGCCAAGUCCCGCUUCUGGUACUUCGUAUCUCAGUUAAAGAAGAUGAAGAAGUCUUCAGGGGAGACUGUCUACUGUGGGCAGGUGUUUGAGACGCGCCCCCUGCCGGUGAAGAACUUCGGCAUCUGGCUGCGCUGUGACUCCCGGAGCGGCACCCACAACACGUACCGGGAGUACCGGAAGCUGACCACUGCGGGUGCUGUCACCCAGUGCUACCGAGAUACGGGCGCUCGGCACCGCGCCCGGGCCCACUCCAUUCAGAUCAUGAAGGUGGAGGAGAUUGCAGCCAGCAAGUGCCGUCGGCCAGCUGUCAAGCAGUUCCACGACUCCAAGAUCAAGUUCCCGCUGCCCCACCGGGUCCUGCGCCGUCAGCACAAGCCACGCUUCACCACCAAGAGGCCCAACACCUUCUAGGUGCAGGGCCUUCGCCCGGGUGUGCCCCAAAUAACCUCAGAAACGUCCCGGUGGGAAAAAAAAAAAA